rnacentral:lncRNA from 1 species
NNNNNNNNNNNNNNNNNNNNNNNNNNNNNNNNNNNNNNNNNNNNNNNCUUGCGCACGGACACGCGUGCGGAUGCACAUGCGCACACACAUGCACACACACACAUGCCUGCACACGGAUGCACGCACAUGCACACACGCACACACAUGCACCCAGCCACACGUGCUGUGCGUACUGCUGUGCACACAUGUGCACACACGUGCAGACAGCCGCACACGCAUGCACACAGCUGCACAUGCAUGCACACAGAUGCUUAUGCAUGCACACAGCUGCACCCACAUGCACAGCCGCAUGCAUAUGUGCACGCACAUGCGUGCAAAGAGCCACUCACGCAUGCACACACGCAUGCACACACACAUGCACUUGGCUGCUUGAACAUGCACACAGCUACACACCCAUGCACACAGCUGCAUGCACAUGCACAGAGACACACACACACACGCAGAGCUACGCACACAUGCAUGCACACAGCUGCUCAUGCAUGCACACGGCUGCACACGCAUGCACAGAGCCACACACACACACAGAGAGCUACGCACACACGCACACUUGCAUGCACACAGCCGCUCAUGCAUGCACACAGCUGCACACGCAUGCACACAGCUGCACACAUGUGCGCGCGCACACACACAGCGACAGAAACGCAGGUAAAGAGCCACUUGCAUGCACACAGCCGCUCAUGCACGCAACAGCACACACGUGUACGCAGCCGCACGCACGCAGCCAAAGAGCCACACAGACGUGCACACAGCCGCUCAUGUGUGCACACGGCUGCACGCACAUCUGCGUGCACACGCACAGAGCCACGCACACGCGUGCACACAGCCACACACGCAUGCACACGGCUACUCACACAUGCACACGGCUGCUCAUGUGUGCACACGGCUGCACGCACAUCUGCAUGCACACGCACAGAGCCACGCACACGCGUGCACACAGCUGCUCGUGCAUGCACGCAGCUGCACACGCAUGUGCACGCACACACACAGCGACAGAAACACGCAUGCAAAGAGCCACUCGCGCGUGCACACAGCUGCUCGCACACGCACGCACACGCGUGUGCCCCCGCUCCGCUCCCGCCCCUCCCGCCGCCGCCGCCGCCCCGCUCACAAGGCGCCCGAGCCGCACAGAGAGCAGCAGCGCCGCGUCCCCGCGC